rnacentral:rRNA from 1 species
UUCCUACGGGAGGCAGCAGUGGGGAAUAUUGCACAAUGGGGGGAACCCUGACCGAGCAACGCCGCGUGAACGAAGAAGUUAUUCGUAAUGUAAAGUUCUUUUAUCAGGGAAGAAAGAGGAAUUUGACGGUACCUGAGGAAUAAGCUCCGGCUAACUACGUGCCAGCAGCCGCGGUAAUACGUAGGGAGCGAGCGUUAUCCGGAAUUAUUGGGUGUAAAGGGAGCGUAGACGGUGAUGCAAGUCUGGAGUGAAAGGCGGGGGCCCAACCCCCGGACUGCUCUGGAAACUGUAUGACUUGAGUGCAG